GUUUCGCCGUCGCGCUAGUUUCACCAUUUUGCGGUCCAGGGGGUUGUUUGGAUGAAUUGCUGUUAGCAAGGUUUCUCCUGAAGGAUCGGAUUGGAGGCCAACCUACCACCGGAGCUGAAGCCCCUCUACAUCAGAUUAGAGCACCGCAGGCUCGCAGCUGAUGCUGUGGGGGAGCGGCGACGCGUCGAGGACAGGACAGGAGCAACAGCACGCACGCUUAUCCGAGAAAGUGGAGGACGAGGACGUGAUGGGGUGCCUCUGCCUCCUUGGCCUACGCCCGUACAUACAUCUGUGUGGGUGUUGUCGUCAGGAGGGAGGUGGUGGCGUAUGGAAUGGUUCCACCUAUCUCGCACGCCGGCCGGUGCCACACGGGACCAAGGAUUCUCAGGAUCAUUCCCUUCAGAACAGGAUUAUCUCUCCUUUCCUUUCGCGAUUUUCUUCGAAGAAAAGCUGUUGGAGAUGAGAGGAAAUAAAGUGAAUAGGAACAGAAAAAGGAAUCGAGAAGGGAACGAAAUAAAGGGAAUAUGGUUGGGGUAGUCUUAAUCCACUUGAUGCUCCUGCAGUCCUGCCUUCUAACUCUCCCUGUUCAUUUUUGUCAGGAAAUUCAUUGAUUGGGGCAGCUCACACGAUCAUCUGUGUUGACGAAGCCGUGGUUGAUGACUUGAUGUUAUUGCCUCUUUACCGUUACUGGAUACUUGCAUGCACUCGUAGCAGUGCAAAAAUAGAAGAGAAAACUGACGUUUGCUUACUGUCCGAAGUCGUUGACAGUCACAUUUUCAACUGUUGAGUGUGCGUCAAUCGUGCAAGUUGAUUGGGAUGCUGUCAGCUGCAAGCUUUCCGCGGGACCUUUUUUUUUUUUGCUGGACUUUUGGAUCUACUAACCUUGUUAUAUACAAGCCUGGCGGCUGCUUCUAUGAGGUCAUAUUUCCUUUCACAUUGGGGCCACAUCAGCCUUGAUGCCCAUGUUGGCCUCUCGUAUGGUGGUAUAAUUUUUUCUUCUCCACAGCUGGAACUUGGAAGAUUGUACUCUCCUUUUUUUUUGUGUGACCGUUUUUGUGAGGGCACAAAGUGUCUCACUGACGCACCAGUAAUACUUUCCUCAUCCCUAAAAAAAG